GCCCUCAAGAGGAGUAUGCCAGGGAUGCCCAUGUUUCUGUUGAUUCCUGGAUUUUAAAGGUCUCAGCUUAUUCACUACUUCCUAAGAGAAUCCUUCCUGGCCCCUUCAGUACACUGAAUUCUCCAAUUACAUAGAGGGCUCCUAAAGGCCAUCUCUCCCUAUGGGGACUUCAGCUUAUGUUCUCAUCCUUACCUCCUACUCCUGCUCUUCUCUCAUGCAUUCCUGCAGCCAAACAAGAGUUGAGUUCAUUUGGUUCAAGAUGGGGGCCCCUGUUAUUGCAUCUUCACACGUGAUGUCCCAAGCAGGAAGACAGGAAGAGAAGCAAAAAGGGAUUUCUUCUUUGGCUACUAUCUCUUUUAUUGAGUAGGAUAAACCUGCGUCAGGGAGCAGACUACUCCUAUGUUUCACUCACUGUGAGUCACAUGACCCACACCUACACAAGUCACUAGCAAAGAGCAGUAGGGAUGCCAUAGUUGGCUUAGCCUAGGUGGAUUUGUUCCCUUGGGCUGGAUCCAGAAUCACCUGAUAAAACUCAGGAUUUCAUAAACUAAGAAGGAUGCCACCUUCAGGAUUGUGCUUAAGAAACCUAUCUAUUUGCUUAAGAGUUGAGCUUGCAGUCCUGAUCCAGCCAAUUCAUAAACUGUGCUCCUUCCAUUCCAGUAGUCUCUCCCAGGAAAAUAAUUUUUCUCCUACUAUGGUUCUGGCUUUGUGAUCCAUGUACAUUUAGUCAUUCAUGCAGAGCUUUAAAAUUUAUAGUGUGCUUCCAUGUGUAUUAUAAAAUUUGAAUGUUAAUGUUUACAACCUGUUUGUACCAAUUUUAUCCCAGAGGACAGAAUUUAGGCCCAGGGAUGAUGUCUGAAAUCACGCAACAAGAUGUGGGAACAUCAGAGCCCUGACUCAGGGCUUCUGACACUCUUCAGUGAGUUCUUCUUCAGGUAUUUGACCAUUUGCUCUGUACUGAUCAGAGCAUCAAAAUCAGCAGCAUCAAAACAACAGCCAGCCAAUCUAGGCAAAAGGUCAGUACAGACAAUCACUGGUGUGAAUUGACUGAUUGUGCCAAUAGAAUUGACCCUCUUGAUUGCAUUGAUAUGGACAUUCUCAUGUAGGUAGCCAACUGUCCUGGUGUUCUUGGGACUGAGGGGCUUCCCAGAAUGUGGGACUUACAGGUUUCAAACCAGAACAGUCCCACUUUUCAAUUUUAAAACAGGAGAAAUCAUAGGAAAACCAGGACAAGUUGGUCCCCUUAGUCUCAGCCUCUGUCUGCUGCCAAAAACAUGCUUUCCUGCAUUCUUUGCCCUACGAAGUUCACAAGCCCCCAAUUCUGUUAGCAAACCCACAAUGUGUCUACUUUUGUUUUGUAAAUGACUUUUUCACAUUUAAAAUAUCUAAAUAAAGAGAACCACAGGUGUAUGUUAGAUAUUCUUUGCUUCUUUCACAGUUGAGAAUUACCAUGGGAAAUUAGUAGAAAUCGUUUUCCUUGGUUGUGAGGAAAUGCAUACCAAGCCCAAUGCAGACACAUGGCAGCCAAUGUCAGCACUUAACCAGUUGAGUGGAAUAUAUUUAAAGAUGUUCCAUCCCCUCCACUGGUUCUCCAUAGCUGGUCUUGGACAGUCUGUUAGAAAUCACCUAGGACUCUUUAAAAAUAAAAACUGCCUGGGCUCUCCCCUGGGCCUAUAUUGGGCAGGAGGUGGGUAGGUAAGGGAUUAUGGAAUGGGUUUGGGGCCAAGGGACUUGUGCUUUUCACAGAGUUCCCCAUGUAAUUCCUGACAUGCUGCCAGCUUCACAAGCAACUGGCUAGAAUCUGUCAUUCAACCUUUCUGAAUGACAACUGAAAUUGUAAUUACGCUGUUAAAAGAGAACCUUAUAAAAUUGCA
ensembl:lncRNA